GGAAAGAUGAAAAGAACUUUGAAAAGAGAGUUAAACAGUAUGUGAAAUUGUUAAAAGGGAACCGUUUGGAGCCAGACUGGCUUGUCUGUAAUCAAAUCUAGGCUUCGGCCUGGAUGCACUUGCAGGCUAUGCCUGCCAACGACAAUUUGACUUGAGGGAAAAAACUAGGGGAAAUGUGGCCCACUUGUGGGUGUUAUAGUCCCUUAGAAAAUACCUUGGGUUGGAUUGAGGAACGCAGCGAAUGCUUUAUUGGCGAGUUUUCCAGGAAGGUUUUCUGAGGUACUACGGUAUCAAGGUUGAUCUUUUUGGUUAUACAUCUAUUCGCUUAGGUUGUUGGCUUAAUGACUCUAAAUGACCCGUCUUGAAACACGGACCA
rnacentral:rRNA from 1 species